ACAGCUCAGUGUGCAGUGAGGACCAGGAAGCAAUACAGGCUCAGAAGAUCUGGAAGAAAGCCAUCAUGCUGGUUUGGAGAGCAGCAGCUAAUCACAGGUAUGCCAAUGUCUUCUUACAGCCUGUAACUGAUGACAUAGCACCAGGCUACCACAGCAUCGUGCAGAGGCCAAUGGAUUUAUCUACCAUCAAAAAGAACAUUGAGAACGGGCUGAUCCGAACCACAGCUGAGUUCCAGCGGGAUAUUAUGCUGAUGUUUCAGAAUGCAGUGAUGU